rnacentral:rRNA from 1 species
GACGGAGGAUGCAAGCGUUAUCCGGAAUGAUUGGGCGUAAAGCGUCCGCAGGUGGCAGUUCAAGUCUGCUGUCAAAGACCGGGGCUUAACUUCGGAAAGGCAGUGGAAACUGAACAGCUAGAGUAUGGUAGGGGCAGAGGGAAUUCCUGGUGUAGCGGUGAAAUGCGUAGAGAUCAGGAGAACACCGGUGGACGAAGGCGCUCUGCUAGGCCGUACUGACACUGAGGACGAA